UAGGGAAUCUUCGGCAAUGGGGGGAACCCUGACCGAGCAACGCCGCGUGAGUGAAGAAGGUUUUCGGAUCGUAAAGCUCUGUUGUUAAGGAAGAACGAGUGUGAGAAUGGAAAGUUCAUACUGUGACGGUACUUAACCAGAAAGGGAAGGCUAACUACGUGCCAGCAGCCGCGGUAAUACGUAGGUCCCGAGCGUUGUCCGGAUUUAUUGGGCGUAAAGCGAGCGCAGGCGGUUAGAUAAGUCUGAAGUUAAAGGCAGUGGCUCAACCAUUGUAGGCUUUGGAAACUGUUUAACUUGAGUGCAGAAGGGGAGAGUGGAAUUCCAUGUGUAGCGGUGAAAUGCGUAGAUAUAUGGAGGAACACCGGUGGCGAAAGCGGCUCUCUGGUCUGUAACUGACGCUGAGGCUCGAAAGCGUGGGGAGCGAACAGG
rnacentral:rRNA from 1 species